rnacentral:rRNA from 1 species
UACAGAGGUCUCAAGCGUUGUUCGGAUUCAUUGGGCGUAAAGGGUGCGUAGGCGGCGCGGUAAGUCGGGGUGUGAAAUCUCGGAGCUUAACUCCGAAACUGCAUUCGAUACUGCCGUGCUUGAGGACUGGAGAGGAGACUGGAAUUUACGGUGUAGCGGUGAAAUGCGUAGAUAUCGUAAGGAAGACCAGUGGCGAAGGCGGGGUCUCUGGACAGUUCCUGACGCUGAUGCACGAAGGCCAGGGGAGCAAACGGG